AAAGACCUCAUAGAUGCGGCUGAAAGCACCCCGGAUGGAAGGAAAAUAGUCAUGUUGCAUGGCCAUCUAGCAAGUGCUCACUGGACACAACCGGCAUCAAAUGGAUCAGAUCAAUACUUCAUAAAAAGAAAUACAUGCAACAUGUGGUGAAACCGGUGGUUCACGUCAAUGAUAUUUCUGUAAUGGGAGAGUCGUUGGAUACAUCCUUUACCCAUUGUUUUGUAAACCUAUACCGAGUAUUGGCACUGAACAAUACUUUUUCCUAUAUGCCUUUGGUUUAUGAGAAAAUGGAUGGUGAUUAUGUUGAUAAGAGAUGAACUAUUUGUAUGUGAGAAUUAAUUGUUUUGUUUUGGCAUUGGGUUUAA